CCUACGGGGGGCAGCAGUGAGGAAUAUUGGUCAAUGGACGAGAGUCUGAACCAGCCAAGUAGCGUGAAGGAUGACUGCCCUAUGGGUUGUAAACUUCUUUUCUAUGGGAAUAAAAUGUUCCACGUGUGGGAUUUCGUAUGUACCAUAUGAAUAAGGAUCGGCUAACUCCGUGCCAGCAGCCGCGGUAAUACGGAGGAUCCGAGCGUUAUCCGGAUUUAUUGGGUUUAAAGGGAGCGUAGGUGGAUUGUUAAGUCAGUUGUGAAAGUUUGCGGCUCAAACGUAAAAUUGCAGUUGAAACUGGCAGUCUUGAGUACAGUAGAGGUGGGCGGAAUUCGUGGUGUAGCGGUGAAAUGCUUAGAUAUCACGAAGAACUCCGAUUGCGAAGGCAGCUACUGGACUGCAACUGACACUGAGGCUCGAAAGUGUGGGUAUCAAACAGGAUUAGAUACCCCAGUAGUC
rnacentral:rRNA from 1 species